AUUGAACGCUGGCGGCAGGCUUAACACAUGCAAGUCGAGCGGGGUGAUGGUGCUUGCACUAUCACUUAGCGGCGGACGGGUGAGUAAUGCUUAGGAAUCUGCCUAUUAGUGGGGGACAACAUCUCGAAAGGGAUGCUAAUACCGCAUACGUCCUACGGGAGAAAGCAGGGGAUCACUUGUGACCUUGCGCUAAUAGAUGAGCCUAAGUCGGAUUAGCUAGUUGGUGGGGUAAGGGCCUACCAAGGCGACGAUCUGUAGCGGGUCUGAGAGGAUGAUCCGCCACACUGGGACUGAGACACGGCCCAGACUCCUACGGGAGGCAGCAGUGGGGAAUAUUGGACAAUGGGGGGAACCCUGAUCCAGCCAUGCCGCGUGUGUGAAGAAGGCCUUAUGGUUGUAAAGCACUUUAGGCGAGGAGGAGGCUCUUUUGGUUAAUACCCAAGAUGAGUGGACGUUACUCGCAGAAUAAGCACCGGCUAACUCUGUGCCAGCAGCCGCCGUAA
rnacentral:rRNA from 1 species